UGGGGAAUAUUGGACAAUGGGGGCAACCCUGAUCCAGCGAUGCCGCGUGAGUGAAGAAGGCCCUCGGGUCGUAAAGCUCUUUAGGUUGGGAAGAAGGUUAGUGGAGGAAAUGCCAUUAAUUUGACGGUACCGACAGAAUAAGCACCGGCAAACUCUGUGCCAGCAGCCGCGGUAAUACAGAGGGUGCGAGCGUUAAUCGGAUUUACUGGGCGUAAAGGGCGCGUAGGCGGUUGAAUGAGUGUGAUGUGAAAGCCCCGGGCUUAACCUGGGAAGUGCAUCGCAAACGAUUCGACUAGAGUAUAUGAGAGGGUGGCGGAAUUUCCGGUGUAGCGGUGAAAUGCGUAGAGAUCGGAAGGAACGUCGAUGGCGAAGGCAGCCACCUGGCAUAAUACUGACGCUGAGGCGCGAAAGCGUGGGGAGCGAACA
rnacentral:rRNA from 1 species